GGGGAGGAGGAAUGGAAGAUGAACCAAUUUUUAAAAUUAGAAGAAGAGGGAUUCUUUUUGUAUUUUAUGUAAUAGUUACAACAUGUCAUCCAAGUCCACCUGCUGUGACACGCCAAUCAGUAACUGACUCGUGUUGUCAUAGACCGAUAACAGAAUGGUGAAAAAUAUGUGUUAUGUCUUGUCAGUGUCCGAUGGGUCUUCUUAUAACUUUAUAACAAUAAAAAUAAUAAAAAACAAGGUCGGAAAGGUGAGCACUUUUGGUAUUAUAUGGACAAGGUGGGUUGCAGAGCAAGGUCGAGAGUCGUUGAGACUAGACUUUGUUGGUGGAAUCAGUGAAGAAGAAAGUAAAGCUAGAAGCUUCACCUAAAAAAAAGAAUACAUUUCAUGGCAAGCACUAUUGUUUCCAGUGAUAUUCCUAGUGGGAAAUUGUAGCGGGAGAAAUUUCCAAAUUAUAACCACACGCAAUGGCUUCACUGGAGCUGAAUCGCAGUGGAAUCGAAACUUUCAAGGAUGAUGAAGAAGUUGACAGAAGAUCUUCUGAAAGCUAUCGAAGAGUUGAGGUUCUCCAUCAUCGUCCCGUCCAAGAACUAUUGCUUCCAGAUGGUGCUUCGAUGAACUUGUACACAUUCUUGAAUGCAUGAAACCCAGAAAUUCAAUUAUUCCCAUCUUCUACAGUGUGGAUCCCUCUACUGUUCACCAUCAAGCUGGCAGUCAAGCUGAAGCCUUUGUCCUACACAAGAAAAACUGCAAAGUUGACAAGGUUGACAAGUGGAGAUUUGCUCUCACUGCGGUUUCCAAUCUCUCAGAAGUGAGGCGGAAUUUAUCCAAAAAUUGUUGAAUAUAUAUCUUGUGAAAUGGAUGAUACAUCCGAUAUGUAUUGGAUAAAUUGGACGGUGCACCUGAACGUGAUGACAAUGAAAGAUGGGGAUCUGAGUUAAUGGGAGUGGUCAGUCGUAUAGACUGGAAGAGAAAAAAAAAGGAAAAACUACCAACUUUUCCCUAUAUUCUUUUUCUUGGAAUUCAUAUGCAACACAAGGAGAAGCAUAACUUGGACUUUGACCUGGAAGAUUGAUACAUAUCACUAGCUGGUAUACAUCUUCAUGACAAUUCGCAGCGCAUGCCAUACCCUUCAAACUCAAAUGCUGGCUUAAUUCUAGAGUUUUGGGAUGUAGUACUUAAUUGGCUUAAAGAAGUUUGAAACAGGGCAGUACAAAUUUUAUACUCCAUAUACGUGGCUAGCUAGUACUCAUGUCUCACAGCCAAAUAAUAGAUAUAUAUAUAUAUAUAUUGCAUGCAAGUAUGAGCAAGAAGUUGAAAAUGCAUGCAAUAUUAAUGUUGGUGAGGUACCGGUUAGAAUAGAUUCUUGGGUGAAGAAAUUACCUUCUUAUUUGAACUUGGGAUUUGGGGGAAGGGUGGAAUAGGCAAGACAACUAUUUUCUAAGUCAUUUAUGACAGAAUCUCUGAUGAAUUUGAGGUUUGCUGCUUUCUUUACAACAUAGGAGAAAGUUGUCAUCGACAAUUAAGUUUACUUGGUUUACAAGAAGAGCUUCUUGGGCAACUUCCAAUGAUGAAAAACGUAUUAUUACAUACUCUGCCGCAUGGAACUAGUUUGAUCAGACAGCACUUUCUCGAUAAAGGGGUUCUCCUUGUUUUGGAUGAUGUAAAUGUGUUAGAACAAUUAGAAGCCUUGGAUGGAGAAAAUCAUUGGUUUGGAUGGGGGGUGGAAUCAUCAUAAUAACAAGAGAUAAUCAUUUGCUUAUUGCAAAACCAGUGGACCAAACUUAUGAAUGUGAAACAUUAAACGGCUCUGAAGCUAUUCAGCUCCUUUGCUUAACUGCCUUAAAAACACACCUUCCUGAGGAUGUGGAAGACCAUAUGGCGUUGUGCAAAUAUCUUCUAAAGUGCGCUUGGGGCCAUCCAUUAACUUGAAACAACAUAGAUUUUUCAAAUUUGAAUAGUUUCAGAUGUCCCUACAUUGGCAAGAAAGUAUACCUUCCCAAAGGCCUGGAAUACCUUUCUGAUAAACUAAGAUUCUUCAAGUGGAGGGGAUAUCCAUUUAAAUCCUUGCCAUCAAAGUUCUAUCUAUCUCAGCUAGUUGAGCUUAACUUGUGCCACAGCCAAAUUGAGCACCUUUGGAAGAAAGAAAAUGUUUUCCGAAAUUAUUCAAAGAUUUAAAGUGCAUCAAACUCAGUCAUUGUUGGAACUUGACAAAAACUCCAGAAUUCACAGGGGCUCCAAAUCUUGAGAAAUUAAUUCUUGAAGGCUGUAAAAAUUUGGUUGAGGUUCACGGAUCCAUUGAAAUUCUCAAAAGGCUUCGUGUGUUGAAUUUGGAAGAUUGCAAAUCUCUUAGGAGUCUCCCAAGCGCCAUGUCACUGGAAUGUCUUGAAAUUUUUCUUAAAACUUGAGCUGCUUCAGGAUGGUGUCACAAAUAUGGAUUAUAUGACUAAAAACCUGUCCAGACUAAGAAGAAUUAAAGACCCUUCCACCAUUCCGUCAUUAAAAAGAAGAAAAUGCAUAGGUAUUGCACGUCUCUUUUCAAGUAUUCCAAACUUACCAGACGGAGCAAUUCCUAGCAACAUUGGCAGACUAACCUCAUUAGAAGUAUUAGAUGUGGGAAGAAGCAAGUUUACUAGAAUACCUGCAAGCACUGGUAAAUUGUGUAACCUAAAAUUUCUUGAUUGGCGCAUUGCAAUCUGCUUGAAUCAGUCCCAGAGCUUCCUUCAAGAAUAGAAUAUGUAGAAGUAUGAGGAUGUUGCUCAUUGCUUACUUUUUUGGAUCCAUUAAAGACAAUGCCGUCUGAUUUUUUUACUGAGUUUCAUUAAUUGCUGCAAGCUGACAUAUAAUCAUCAGGACUGCAAAAGUACGGCAAUUAUGUGGUUGAAAGCGUACCUCCACUCAUUGCUAGACAGCCAUCAACAGGUCUCUCUCUCUCUCUCUCUCUCUCUCUCUCUCUCUCUCUCUCUAAGUUUGAUGCACACCCGUCAGGGCAAUGCAGAGCUUCCAAGUCUAAGAACUCUCUUUGAGUUUUAUUUUUUUAUUUUUUUUAUUUUGUUGUCACUUUCCUUUUCUUACUUGCAUUUACCUACUUUGCUUGCUGCACUUCUUACUUCAGUAUUCCUUAGUUCCAUCACAAACAUUUUCUUACGUUCCAAGUAAUCUAAUUGUUCACUCAAAAGUCAAACUAAUAAACGACCAAGUAGUCUUAAAUUUAAAUUUUGUUUAGUAUUCCAACAUUACGCCUCUGUUUCUCUUUCCGUAUUCUCUGUCUCUCUUAAAACCAAAAUCAUGGCAGGAACUGUCACAUCUGAAUGACCUUUUAGAUUUUAUUAUCCCUGGAACUAGAAUUCUAGAUGAUCAGUUCCGGCACCAAAACAUGGGAUCUUAAAUCACAACACAUUUGCCUCCAAAACGGAGUAAUAAUAACAGUAAUUGGAUAGGAUUCGUUUUCUGAAUUGUCUUUGGAGUCCACAAGCAUUCCUAAAACUCUCAUGAGAUCACCUGUAAAUUGUACGCCGAUGGAUGUCCUCUAGGAAAUCGUUUUGGCUUUCGCAUCUCAAGAGGCACGGUCUUUGAUUCCGAUCACCUUCGGCUACGUUACAUAUCAAAUGGAAGUUUUGGAAAACAAAUGCUUCAAUCAAACAGGAUUAGCUGCAUUGAUGCCACAUCUGGAAGCCAGAGCGAAUGCGUGAAGGUGAAAAAGUGUGGCAUUUGUGGUGUAUUCAAGCAAAGACGUGGGAGAGAUGGAGGAACAAAAAUUCCAAUACAUCUUCCCUCCAACUGAGGAUUUGGAAGUCAGCUUCUCUCAUAUGGAUAUGAUAAAUAAGUUAGCUGUCAUUUUUUCUACUGUGAUUGAACCAAAGUGCGACUGUGAGGCCAUUCAGCAUCUUUGGUUAUCAAAGGAGCGCACACACCUAAUGCUCGACCCAUUUUUUAAGUGCCGCUAGCUGAUGACGUCUCUUUUGCUAUCUCGUAAUUCAAGCUUCUCAAGGAUAAGAGAGGACUAGAGGUUACAUGGCUCCACAUUGGGUUUAGAAUCAUCCUAUCUUCUACAGCGGAUUUAAAUAUAGCUAUGGGAUUGCAGUGUUGGAAAUUUGUAACUGGAAAAAGAAACCAACUGGGAAUUCAAAUUUCUGAGAGUAAAGGGAUAACAUAGCAGAAGGGAAGAUUGGUGACAUGGUGAAAAUCUGUUGUGAAAGGAUUAAGCUCCUUUAUGGUGAACUCUUUGCCUGUAAGUUUAGGGUGAACUCUUUGCCUGUAAGUUUAGCCACCUACUACUUAUUUUUUGAAUGCAUAAAAUGAGCUUUUCUAAUAGCCAAAUGGGCAUUAAAUUCCCAGGAAAAAACAGAAAAAUAAUAAUGACUAAAUAAUAUCAGGAAGCAAGGGCUCACUUUUA